rnacentral:rRNA from 1 species
GACAGAGGGUGCAAACGUUGUUCGGAAUUACUGGGCGUAAAGAGUGUGUAGGCGGUGCUCUAAGUUCGGUGUGAAAUCUCCUGGCUUAACUGGGAGGGUGCGCCGGAAACUGGAGUGCUCGAACGUGGGAGAGGAAAGCGGAAUUCCUGGUGUAGCGGUGAAAUGCGUAGAUAUCAGGAGGAACACCUGCGGUGUAGACGGCUUUCUGGACCAUUGUUGACGCUGAGACACGAAAGCGUGGGUAGCAAACAGG